UACGGGGGGAGCAAGCGUUGUUCGGAUUUACUGGGCGUAAAGGGCGCGUAGGCGGUCAGCACAAGUCAGUUGUGAAAUCUCCGGGCUUAACUCGGAAAGGUCAACUGAUACUGUGCGACUAGAGUGCAGAAGGGGCAACUGGAAUUCUCGGUGUAGCGGUGAAAUGCGUAGAUAUCGAGAGGAACACCUGCGGCGAAGGCGGGUUGCUGGGUUGCAACUGACGCUGAGAUGCGAAAGUGUGGGGAGCAAACGGG
rnacentral:rRNA from 1 species